rnacentral:rRNA from 1 species
AAAGCGGAGCAGUGAUGCCGAGCGAAUCUCAAAAAUAACGUCUCAGUUCGGAUUGUAGUCUGCAACCCGACUACAUGAAGCUGGAAUCGCUAGUAAUCGCGGAUCAGAAUGCCGCGGUGAAUACGUUCCCGGGUCUUGUACACACCGCCCGUCACACCAUGGGAGUCGAUAACGCCCGAAGUCAGUGACCCAACCGAAAGGAGGGAGCUGCCGAAGGCGGGAUGGAUAACUGGGGUGAAGUCGUAACAAGGUACC